rnacentral:rRNA from 1 species
GUAGGGUGCAAGCGUUAAUCGGAAUUACUGGGCGUAAAGCGUGCGCAGGCGGUUAUGUAAGACAGAUGUGAAAUCCCCGGGCUCAACCUGGGAACUGCAUUUGUGACUGCAUGGCUAGAGUACGGUAGAGGGGGAUGGAAUUCCGCGUGUAGCAGUGAAAUGCGUAGAUAUGCGGAGGAACACCGAUGGCGAAGGCAAUCCCCUGGACCUGUACUGACGCUCAUGCACGAAAGCGUGGGGAGCAAACAGGAUUAGAUACCCUGGUAGUCCCACGCCCUAAACGAUGUCAACUGGUUGUUGGGAAUUAGUUUUCUCAGUAACGAAGCUAACGCGUGAAGUUGACCCGCCUGGGAGUACGGCCGCAAGGUUG